GACGAACGCUGGCGGCGUGCUUAACACAUGCAAGUCGAACGGAAAGGCCCUGCUUUUGUGGGGUGCUCGAGUGGCGAACGGGUGAGUAACACGCGAGUAACCUGCCCUUGACUUUGGGAUAACUUCAGGAAACUGGGGCUAAUACCGGAUAGGAGCUCCUGCUGCAUGGUGGGGGUUGGAAAGUUUCGGCGGUUGGGGAUGGACUCGCGGCUUAUCAGCUUGUUGGUGGGGUAGGGGCUGACCAAGGCUUUGACGGGUAGCCGGCCUGGGAGGGUGACCGGCCUCAUGGGGACUGAGAGAGGGCGCAGACGGCUACGGGCGGCAGCAGUGGAGAAUAUGGCACAACGGGGGGGCGCCUGAGGCAGAAACGCCGGGUGCGGGAUGAUGGGUUUCGGGGGGUAAACCGCUUUCGACGGUGACGAAGCGGGAGUGACGGUAACGGGUAAAAAAGCACCGGCUAACUACGUG
rnacentral:rRNA from 1 species